rnacentral:rRNA from 1 species
GUAAGGUAACGGCUUACCAAGGCUAAGACGGGUAGCUGGUCUGAGAGGAUGAUCAGCCACACUGGGACUGAGACACGGCCCAGACUCCUACGGGAGGCAGCAGUAGGGAAUCUUGCGCAAUGGGCGAAAGCCUGACGCAGCCACGCCACGUGUGGGACGACGGCCUUCGGGUUGUAAACCACUUUCAGCAGGGACGAAAUUGACGGUACCUGCAGAAGAAGCCCCGGCCAACUACGUGCCAGCAGCCGCGGUAACACGUAGGGGGCGAGCGUUGUCCGGAAUUACUGGGCGUAAAGGGCUCGUAGGCGGUUUGGUAAGUCAGAUGUGAAAACUCCAGGCUCAACUUGGAGACGCCAUCUGAAACUACCAUGACUAGAGUUUGGUAGAGGAGUGCAGAAUUCUCGGUGUAGCGGUGAAAUGCGCAGAUAUCGGGAGGAAUACCAGUCAGCGAAGGCGGCACUCUGGGCCACAACUGACGCUGAGGAGCGAAAGCGUGGGUAGCGAACAGGAUUAGAUACCCUGGUAGUCCACGCCGUAAACGGUGGGCAUUAGGUGUGGGGCCCUGUCAACGGGCUCCGUACACGUAGCUAACGCGUUAAAUG